GAUAAAGAACGCAGCGAAACGCGAUAUGUAAUGUGAAUUGCAGAAUUCAGUGAAUCAUCGAAUCUUUGAACGCACAUGGCGCCUUCCAGUAUCCUGGGAGGCAUGCCUGUCCGAGCGUCGUUUCAACCCUCGAGCCCCCGUGGCCCGGCGUUGGGGAUCUGCCCAGGCAGUCCCCGAAAACCAGUGGCGGACCCGUUACAGGCCCUUCCCUUGCGUAGUAGCAUUCGCCUCGCAUCGGGAGCCGGCGGGCUUCCAGCCUCUAAACCCCCAUCAAGUCCGCCCCGGCGGCACCAAGGUUGACCUCGGAUCAGGUAGGAAUACCCGCUGAACUUAAGCAUAUCAAUAAGCGGAGGA
rnacentral:misc_RNA from 1 species